GUAAUUGAGGGGAAGGGUAGAAGAUGUUAUUUUACAGAUAAGAAAAUUGAACUCUGAAACAAGUGCUUUUCUGAGACCAAAUAAUUGGUUAAUGGUAAGACUAGAGCUGAACCUACCCUAAAGGCUUCUGAUUCCAAUUAUGCCUUAUUUUCAAAGUCCUUCUACAAUGAUGUAUGGUAAUGGCUGAUUACAGAGGAAAAACUUCAUUUAUUUAGCAAAUGUCACUCAUUUAACAAACUACUUAACACAAGGCCCUGAGUACCUUCCAUGUGCCAAGCAUUUUUCUAAACAUUUUAAAUGAAGCUUUGAGUGAGGCAAAGAGUAAACAAACACAAAAUUCUAAUGAUAGUCAUAAAGGAAAGUAAGGUGCCAAGGGAGCACAGAGUGAUGGCAGUGAGGAGAAGAAAGCGGGUUAGAGACAGUGCUUAGAGACAGUGUGUCUACUUCCUAUCAUUAUAAUAAAUACCCACAAUAAUCAACUUAAGGAGAGAAAAGGGUGGUUUUGGUUCACAGUUUUAGAGAUUUCACCCCAUGACUGACUUGCCCCCAUUCACUCUGUGCAAGGUAGCACAUCACAGCAGGAGCAUGUGGCCAAGCAAAACUGAUUCUCUUAUGACCAAGAAGGGAAGAAGAGGCAGGGAGGUCCCCAGUCUUCCUUGAGGACAAGCCCUCAGAAGACCUCCUUCUUGACUUUACCUCUUAGAAUUUUUACUACCUCUCAAUAGCACCAAGCUGGUAACCAAACCUCUAAGAUACAAACCUUGGGGACAUUUGAGAUCCAAAGUACAGCAGAAGGCAUCUUGAUGUGGCACUCUAGCAGACCUGGGAAGUAAAGCCAUGGUACUCAUGGAAUUCUGUAGGGAAGAGCUGAGUGAAAGGCCGUACAAAUGCCCUGCAUACUAAUGAGAAGUAGGCAGGCCAGUAGAACUCACCGGAAUGAGAAAGGACCAAUCAGAAUCUAAUUCACAUUACCCAGAACAACUGCAUGAACGCCGGUAGAAAAAUACAAUUAGCAUUUUAACUGGAUUAUAAUAAAAUGACUUGGGACCCAAUCUGUUUUUUUCCAGAUUUCUGAAUACAUGUUCACUUUUAAGGAAGAAGAAAUAUAUAAAUAUACAACUUCUAUAUGUGUAGUGCAACAAAAUACUUUCACACAUUGUUUCGUGAUGUGAGGAUUUUAAAAAAGAUCUGUUUCACAGAUGAGAACACUAAGUUUUAAAAUAUAUGCACUUUCUCAGAGUCCAAGUUAGUGUAUGAAGUGAUACCAGAACCCACAUCUUCCGGUGGCAAAUUUCUACUACUCUCUCUGUACUGUCCUUAACAUUUAGCUCUGAUGAGCAAGAAAUAAAUCCCUGGAGCUUAGAAUUCAGAGAAAGCAGGAAAAGUCACCCAACAGAUCACUCCCUCAUCUUGAACGUACCUUCUAGGCCCCUGCUCUGGGCUAGGCACUCAGCUAACCUGGUUGUGCGGAGAUGAUGAAGACACCAGUCUUCUCUUUAAGGAACUCACAGUCUCACAGAGGAGACGACAGAAAGGGGGAAUCAAAACUAGUGAACGCUGCUGCCAAAUGCCAUCCGGCAGAAAGGCAGGCUUGUAAAACCUGGUGCGUCCUGACCCACCUUGAUCACUGGAUUUGGUAUGGCAAGACCUCUGCCUCUCCCAGAGUAAAAGCGAUCAUGAGACAUAAAUAUUUAGAAUUGGUUUAGAACAUCGAGAUAGCCACAGCAGUGCAACUGAAGUUACCCAGGAAAUAGGAUGUCUAGAAUCACUUAAGAAAGUGGCAAAGCUGAUGGGGUAAGUAUGUAUCAAGUGAAGGGGAUUCGUGGUAAUGUGUCUUUUCUGUAACAUAAUUUUUUUUGAGAUAGGUUCUCGAUUGGUAGUUCAACCAGGCCUUAAACUCACUUUGUAGCCCAUGUUGGCCUCAAACUUGUGACAAUUCUCUUGCCUCAGUCUACUACGUGCUGGGAUUACAGACAUGCACCACCACACCUGGCUACUGUAAAUUAAUUUGUGCAUUAUGCAUUCAAUAUUUAUUUAUUUAUUGGUACUGGGGAUUGAACUCACCAUCUCACACUUGCCAGGUAGUUGCUUAUACCGCUGAACUAAACUCCCCGUCACCACUGGAUUUUUAACACACCUUGUAAUUUAGUCAUGCAAGACUAGAGUAAAAUGUAUAUACAGUUGUUUAUUAGUCCAUCAAUUGGACAAAACUAACGGAACCUGGUAGCUACUUGUACUUAGAUGUUUCCUUUAUUGUAGGUUAAACACUAGGGGCUUUCUUUGGAACUUAAAAUCCCUGCUUACAAUCGCUCAGUGAUUAAUCAUACCUUUGAAAAUCCUUAGUGUAGCUCACGAGACCUUUUAUGACCUAGUUCUUGUCUGUAUCUCUUCAUGUUCCACCUCACCCUGCCCUCCAUCCAUACCAAAUUAUAGACCUCUCUGUGAUUUUGUGUUUGAAAAUCCUUUGACUAUACUUUCUUUCCCUUCCUCUCCAGCUCUUGUUUAGUUCGAAGAUGACUUUUGUGAAACAUUUUCUGAUAUAACGCAGAUCACCUUACAUGUAAGUCCCACGCUAUCUCUGCUGGGGAAUGGGGCUAAUGCUUAUUUCAUUGUAAUUAUUUUCCCAGGCCUUUCACAGAUCCAAGAAAAGACAGAUAGUAGUAACCAGCAUCAAGGAGGUGCUAGAUGUGCCACAUACUCUCCUAGGUUUGUUGAAUUGAGCUGUACAUGAAUCUGUCAAGUGGGGCCUAGGGAGAGUGGCUUAUGUUGGCAGCUGUGAGAAAGAACAGUUUACUGUCUACUAUGUCUAAAUGCCAUCACUAUCCACCUAAUUUUCUAAGCUAGAAGUUUAUAAUCGCUUGCUCCCCCAUUUAAUCAGUCAUUAAACCCUGUCAGUCCUGCCUUUUAAUGUCCCUAGAGCCUCCUGGCAUCUUGCCAUUGUCAUUGUCAGUCCCACAGUGCAGGCCCUCAUUAUUCCUCAUCUGGAAUCGAUGACCCCCGACUGGUCUUCUUGUUUUCCGUCUCUCCUGCCCUUCAUCCCACCUCUCCUCUAUGCCCCCGCUGCUACCACAGUGUGCCUUCCAAAGCAGAUCUAACUGUGUCACCAUCCUGAUGAAAGCAUCCUAGGGGAUUCCGUGCAUCCUAGGGGAUUCCGUGACCUGCAAGAAGUCCAAGCCCUGGCAUCCUCCGUCUCGCACCAGUUUCCCCUAUUGGCCCUCACUGUAGCCUACUGGAUAACGCAGUUCCUGGAAGCCACACAAUGAAGCCCUUCCCUGUGCUGUUUCUCUGCCUGGUUGCUCCUCUCCUGCCCUCCAGAUGAAUUGACACCAAUUUUUCCUGAUUCAAUCCACAGCCCAUGCCUCUCUCAAGUGCUGUACAAGACUCUAAUUUAGCUUGGAGGAGGCAACACAGAAAGCACCAACAUUUUCAAACCACUUUUCUAAUUAGAAGAUAGAGACAGUCUAAGAAGCUGCAGGUUUCAAUUUGACAACAUCUCUAGAAUCCGGGAACAAGGCCAGAAAUGUCACCCUCUGAAAUUGACAACAAAAAGCUGAUGAGAUUAAUCACUGUGAUAAUCUUCCCAGGAAAUAACCCACUGAAGAAAUUCUUAGUAGGUGUGCUGUUGAUAAGAUCUGGCUGUUUCCUAAUCUCAGCCAGGGCCCAGGAAUGCCUCCUCACAAAGGAAAGCAUUUAAAAACGUUGCUGGUGCAAGAUAAACUAUAAUCUAGGAAAUUAUAAAGUGUUUGUCCUGAAGAAGUCUUCCAAUGUGGGAAGCAGUUAAUGAUGCAUAAGUGUAACUGCUUGGAGUGGUUGGAGGUGCUUUUUGUUUGUUUUUCUUUCUCUCAGCAGAGGUAGCAGAAGCCUGGGUUAGUCAUUGCUAGAGAAAUGUGGGGAAUAAUGGUGAUGUGGAGGUGCAUGGGGUGGCAAAGGCUCACAGAAGUAACAUAGUUCAUGGAUGUUUGGAUGUUGUCCUCCCCAAAGGGUCAUGUGUUGGAGGGCUUGGUCUUCAGUACGGUGCUGGGAGGUGAGGGGCCUUUAAAAGAGGGAGCCUGUUAGGAGGGCCUUUGGUCGCUGGGGGUGUACACCUAGGACGGACUGUGGGAUUCCAGCUUCUCUGGCUUUCUCCCUCACCAUGUGAUCUCUGUCUCACAUGCCAUGAUAUGACCCAGCCAAGAGGAUCCUUGCCAGGGCUAAGGCAAUGUCAUAGAAUGCUCCCUGGGCUAAGUAACCCUCUUUGCUGUCAAGUUAGCCUGCCUAGGGUAUUUUGUUAUAAUAAUAAAAAGUGAGCUGAUAUACUUAGUGAAGUGAUUCUUAGAAGCCCAAGAACCCUGGAUGUAUACAAAAUUGUGUGUGUGUGUGUGUGUGCAUGCACGCGUGCAUGUUCACACAUUUGUACACUUUUUUCCUGUGGAAAAUGUAACAUUCAUCAAAGGGAUAUUUGACUUCCAAAAUUACAAUCCUUGCCCUGAUGGUUAAGCACAGCAACAGGGAGCAAUAAAAUAGAAAGAAGAAACCCCUGGAAAAACAAGGGAACAGGGUUCCUCCGAGAGAGAAAGGAUUCAUUCUUGGAGCUGAGAUUCAUUCACUGGGCACACAUGGGGCUCCUUCAUGUACAGGAAUAGAGUUCCUAAUUUUCUCAUGAAAAUUGGAGGGUCAACAUGACACGGAAAGAUGUACAGUGAAUGAACAUCCAAGCAGAACAGAAAUAUAACCUGAAGGAUGCUGGACAAAAAUACAGAAGGUGAUGAAAGACUUGGAAAGAGAACAGGAGUGUACGUAAGUGUGUACAUGUGUAAAACAUGUGUGUGUAUAUGCACACAUGGGCAUGUGAAACUGUUGCUGUAUGCCAAUAUCAGUGUUGAAUUUAGAGUGCCCAGAUGUCCCAGGGUAGUCAAUAGUCGUCAAUAAGAAAA